AGUAACCUGCCUCUAAGAGGGGGAAGAACAUUCUGAAGAGAAUGCUAAUACCGCAUAACAUAUAUUUAUCGCAUGGUAGAUAUAUCAAAGAUUUAUCGCUUAGAGAUGGACUCGCGUCCGAUUAGUUAGUUGGUGAGGUAACGGCUCACCAAGACUGCGAUCGGUAGCCGGACUGAGAGGUUGAACGGCCACAUUGGGACUGAGACACGGCCCAG
rnacentral:rRNA from 1 species